rnacentral:rRNA from 1 species
AUUGAACGCUGGCGGCAGGCCUACCACAUGCAAGUCGAGCGGAGCGGCGGCCGGGUGAGUAAUGCCUAGGAAUCUGCCUGGUAGUGGGGGAUAACGUCCGGAAACGGGCGCUAAUACCGCAUCCUAUCAGAUGAGCCUAGGUCGGAUUAGCUAGUUGGUGGGGUAAAGGCCUACCAAGGCGACGAUCCGUAACUGUGCUGAGAGGAUGAUCAGUCACAAUGGAACUAGUACACGGUCCUGAAGCCUACGGGAGACAGCAGUGGGGAAUAUUGGACAAUGGGCGAAAGCAUGAUCCAGCCAUGCCGCGUGUGUGAAGAAGGUCUUCGGAUUGUAAAGCACUUGAAGUUGGGAGGCGUUACCAACAGAAUAAGCACCGGCUAACUUCGUGCCAGCCGCCGCGGUAAUAC